CUAAGCAUCAGGUAACAUCAAAUCGUACCCCAAACCGACACAGGUGGUCAGGUAGAGAAUACCAAGGCGCUUGAGAGAACUCGGGUGAAGGAACUAGGCAAAAUGGUGCCGUAACUUCGGGAGAAGGCACGCUGACACGUAGGUGAAGUGAUUUACUCAUGGAGCUGAAGUCAGUCGAAGAUACCAGCUGGCUGCAACUGUUUAUUAAAAACACAGCACUGUGCAAACACGAAAGUGGACGUAUACGGUGUGACGCCUGCCCGGUGCCGGAAGGUUAAUUGAUGGGGUCAGCGCAAGCGAAGCUCCUGAUCGAAGCCCCGGUAAACGGCGGCCGUAACUAUAACGGUCCUAAGGUAGCGAAAUUCCUUGUCGGGUAAGUUCCGACCUGCACGAAUGGCGUAAUGAUGGCCAGGCUGUCUCCACCCGAGACUCAGUGAAAUUGAACUCGCUGUGAAGAUGCAGUGUACCCGCGGCAAGACGGAAAGACCCCGUGAACCUUUACUAUAGCUUGACACUGAACAUUGAGCCUUGAUGUGUAGGAUAGGUGGGAGGCUUUGAAGUGUGGACGCCAGUCUGCAUGGAGCCGACCUUGAAAUACCACCCUUUAAUGUUUGAUGUUCUAACGUGGACCCGUAAUCCGGGUUGCGGACAGUGUCUGGUGGGUAGUUUGACUGGGGCGGUCUCCUCCUAAAGAGUAACGGAGGAGCACGAAGGUUGGCUAAUCCUGGUCGGACAUCAGGAGGUUAGUGCAAUGGCAUAAGCCAGCUUGACUGCGAGCGUGACGGCGCGAGCAGGUGCGAAAGCAGGUCAUAGUGAUCCGGUGGUUCUGAAUGGAAGGGCCAUCGCUCAACGGAUAAAAGGUACUCCGGGGAUAACAGGCUGAUACCGCCCAAGAGUUCAUAUCGACGGCGGUGUUUGGCACCUCGAUGUCGGCUCAUCACAUCCUGGGGCUGAAGUAGGUCCCAAGGGUAUGGCUGUUCGCCAUUUAAAGUGGUACGCGAGCUGGGUUUAGAACGUCGUGAGACAGUUCGGUCCCUAUCUGCCGUGGGCGCUGGAGAACUGAGGGGGGCUGCUCCUAGUACGAGAGGACCGGAGUGGACGCAUCACUGGUGUUCGGGUUGUCAUGCCAAUGGCACUGCCCGGUAGCUAAAUGCGGAAGAGAUAAGUGCUGAAAGCAUCUAAGCACGAAACUUGCCCCGAGAUGAGUUCUCCCUGAGACUUAGAGUCUCCUGAAGGAACGUUGAAGACGACGACGUUGAUAGGCCGGGUGUGUAAGCGCAGCGAUGCGUUGAGCUAACCGGUACUAAUGAACCGUGAGGCUUAACCUUACA
rnacentral:rRNA from 1 species